UAAGGAAUAUUGCUCAAUGGGAGAAAUCCUGAAGCAGCAACGCCGCGUGGAGGAUGAAGGGUUUUAACUUGUAAACUCCUGUAAAGAAGGAAAAAAUUCCCAUUAGAUGGGAAAUGAUGGUACUUCUGGAGUAAGCCCCGGCUAACUACGUGCCAGCAGCCGCGGUAAUACGUAGGGGGCAAGCGUUGUCCGGAUUUACUGGGUGUAAAGGGUGCUCAGGCGGAUUUGUAAGUCAGAGGUGAAAUCUCACAGCUUAACUGUGAAACUGCCUUUGAUACUGCAAGCCUAGAGUAUGGAAGAGAGUGAUGGAAUAUCUGGUGUAGCAGUGAAAUGCGUAGAUAUCAGAUAGAACACCAAUGGCGAAGGCAGUCACUUGGUCCAUAACUGACGCUAAAGCACGAAAGCGUGGGUAGCAAACAGGAUUAGAUACCCUGGUAGUCCACGCCCUAAACGAUGAAUACUAGAUGUUGGCUUCGCAUGAAGUCAGUAUCUGAGCUAACGCAUUAAGUAUUCCACCUGGAAGUACGAUCGCAGGUUGAAACUCAAAGGAAUUGACGGGGUCAUAG
rnacentral:rRNA from 1 species